rnacentral:rRNA from 1 species
AUGUACCCUGUAGCUUGGGCAGUUGUGAAAAAAGAAACUACAGAGAUAUGGAAGUGGUUUAUUGGGCUGCAAAUCAAGGAUUUGGAUAUCAAUGAUCAAGGAGCAGGCUCAAUUUUUAUUUCUGACCAGCAAAAGGUUAUAACUGUUUUCAUUGUUGCAAUUAUUGUAUGUUUCCAAUUGUUGUAUGCUACACUUGUUUCCAAUUGUUGCAUGUUUCCAAUUAUUGUUGUCAUUGGUUAG